rnacentral:rRNA from 1 species
GUGCCAGCAGCCGCGGUAAUACGGAGGGUGCAAGCGUUGUUCGGAAUCACUGGGCGUAAAGGGCGCGUAGGCGGCUAGUUAAGUCCGAUGUGAAAGCCCGGGGCUCAACCCCGGAAGUGCAUUGGAAACUGGGUAGCUUGAGUUCGGGAGAGGAAGGCAGAAUUCCCGGUGUAGGGUUGAAAUCCGUAGAUAUCGGGAGGAAAACCGGUGGCGAAGGCGGCCUUCUGGAACGAAACUGACGCUGAGGCGCGAAAGCGUGGGGAGCAAACAGGAUUAGAUACCCUGGUAGUCC